GAUGAACGCUGGCGGCGUGCCUAAUACAUGCAAGUCGAGCGAACAGACGAGGAGCUUGCUCCUCUGACGUUAGCGGCGGACGGGUGAGUAACACGUGGAUAACCUACCUAUAAGACUGGGAUAACUUCGGGAAACCGGAGCUAAUACCGGAUAAUAUAUUGAACCGCAUGGUUCAAUAGUGAAAGACGGUUUUGCUGUCACUUAUAGAUGGAUCCGCGCCGCAUUAGCUAGUUGGUAAGGUAACGGCUUACCAAGGCAACGAUGCGUAGCCGACCUGAGAGGGUGAUCGGCCACACUGGAACUGAGACACGGUCCAGACUCCUACGGGAGGCAGCAGUAGGGAAUCUUCCGCAAUGGACGAAAGCCUGACGGAGCAACGCCGCGUGAGUGAUGAAGGUCUUCGGAUCGUAAAACUCUGUUAUUAGGGAAGAACAAAUGUGUAAGUAACUAUGCACGUCUUGACGGUACCUAAUCAGAAAGCCACGGCUAACUACGUA
rnacentral:rRNA from 1 species